rnacentral:rRNA from 1 species
GAUGAACGCUAGCGGCAGGCUUAAUACAUGCAAGUCGAGGGACAGCACAGGUAGCAAUACUGGGUGGUAACCGGCAAACGGGUGCGGAACACGUACACAACCUUCCUUUAAGUGGGGGAUAGCCCAGAGAAAUUUGGAUUAAUACCCCGUAAUAUAGUUGAAUGGCAUCAUUUGAUUAUUAUAGCUACGGCGCUUAAUGAUGGGUGUGCGGCUGAUUAGAUAGUUGGCGGGGUAACGGCCCACCAAGUCUACGAUCAGUAGCUGAUGUGAGAGCAUGAUCAGCCACACGGGCACUGAGACACAGGCCCGACUCCUACGGGAGGCAGCAGUAAGGAAUAUUGGUCAAUGGACGCAAGUCUGAACUAGCCAUGCCGCGUGAAGGAUUAAGGUCCUCUGGAUUGUAAACUUCUUUUAUUUGGGACGAAAAGGGGCCUUUCUAGGUCAACUGACGGUACCAGAUGAAUAAGCACCGGCUAACUCCGUGCCAGCCGCCGCCGUAAAAC